rnacentral:rRNA from 1 species
AUUGAACGCUGGCGGCAGGCCUAACACAUGCAAGUCGAGCGGAGCGGCGGACGGAUGAGUAAUGUAUGGGGAUCUGCCCGAUAGAGGGGGCUAACUACUGGCAACGGUGGCUAAUACCGCAUACUAUCGGAUGAACCCCUAUGGGAAUAGCUAGUAGGUGGGGUAAAGGCACACCUAGGCGACGAUCUCUAGCGUGUCUGAGAGGAUGAGCAGCCACACUGGGACUGUGACACGGCCCAGACUCCUACGGUAGGCAGCAGUGGGGAAUAUUGCACAAUGGGCGCAAGCCUGAUGCAGCCAUGCCGGGUGUGUGAAGAAGGUCUUCGGAUUGUAAAGCACUUUAAGUUGGGAGGCGUUACCAACAGAAUAAGCACCGGCUCACUUCGUGCCAGCAGCCGCGGUAAUAC